CCCCGCGCCGCCGCCGCCGCUCUCGCAGCUGGACCACCGCUGCCGGAGCCGGACAAUGCCCCCGGCCCGCCUCGCGCUGCCGCCACCAAUAGCCGCUCGUGUUGUUUAUUUGAACCUUGGCGGUGGACCAAUCGAACGCUUCCUUCUAGCCAGAACUCCGCCCUCUCGGCACCGCCUCCCCAACGGCUGUUUGUUUUUGCACACGGCACUUGGAGGCGGGACCUCCAACCCCAACAUUGACGCGCUCUCCGCCUCUCUCCUGCCGCGGAGUCUGAUGAACAGAAGAACGAACCAAUGGGAGAGAAGAAAAGCCAAUGAAAACAUUGCCGGCCGCACCAGAGGCGGGAGUCUGGGAACAACAGUAGGAUGAGCCAACGGUUAACCUCCAUCAGAAACAGUAACCUGGGAGAAGUGAGGCUUUCCGGAAAAAAUAAUUUGAAUUCUAGACGAGGAAGGAACGAGCUUCUAAAUGACUUUGGGAAACCAAGAUGAAGAUAAGAAAAAGAGUGAGAAGGGGGGCCAAUGAAAUCGGAAUAAAUGCAAUGAUGUGCUCAGAUAAUA